GUGCCUAAUACUGCAAGUCGGACGUGAGCCUUGAUUCGGUCGAGGUGAAAGUGGCGAACGGGUGAGUAACACAUGGCUGACCUGCCCCUCAGAGGGGGAUAACUACUGGAAACGGUAGCUAAUACCCCAUACGCUCGCUCGGGUUAGAGGCCGGGUGAGGAAAGGCGGGAGCUGCUGAGGGAGGGGGCUGUGGCCCAUCAGCUAGUUGGUGGGGUAAUGGCCUACCAAGGCGAGGACGGGUAGGGGGCCUGAGAGGGUGACCCCCCACACGGGCACUGAGAGACGGGCCCGACUCCUACGGGAGGCAGCAGUAAGGGAUAUUGCGCCAAUGGGCGAAAGCCUGACGCAGCAACGCCGCGUGCGGGAAGAAGGCCUUCGGGUUGUAAACCGCUUUGAGAGGGGACGAGGCAGGACGGUACCCUCAGAACAAGUCUCGGCUAACUACGUGCCAGCAACACGUAGGAGGCGAGCGUUAUCCGGAGUUACUGGGUGUAAAGGGCGUGCAGGCGGCUGAGCAAGACGUAUGUGACAAACGCUCAGAGCUCAACCGGGCGAGGACAUGCGAAGACUGCUGAGCUAGAGGCAGGUAGAGGUGCGUGGAAUUCCGGGUGUAGUGGUGAAAUGCGUAGAGAUCCGGAGGAACACCAGUGGCGAAGGCGGCGCGCUGGGCCUGACCUGACGCUGAGGCGCGAAAGCAUGGGGAGCGAACGGGAUUAGAAACCCCGGUAGUCCAUGCUGUAAACGAUGCGGACUAGGUGUGGCGGUGGGAGCGUGCCGUGCCGAAGCGAACGUGAUAAGUCCGCCACCUGGGGAGUACGGCCGCAAGGUUAAAACUCAAAGGAAUUGACGGGGGCCCGCACAAGCAGCGGAGCGUGUGGUUUAAUUCGAGGCUACACGAAGAACCUUACCUGGGCUUGACAUGGCUGGUGGUAGCUUCUUGAAAGGGGAGCGACCUUCGGGAGCCGUCACAGGUGCUGCAUGGCUGUCGUCAGCUCGUGUCGUGAGAUGUUCGGUUAAGUCCGGUAACGAGCGCAACCCUCGCCGUCAGUUACAGGUGUCUGGCGGGACUGCCCGUUGAAAGCGGGAGGAAGGUGAGGAUGACGUCAAGUCAGCAUGGCCUUGAUGUCCAGGGCUACACACACGCUACAAUGGCCGGUACAGAGGGUAGCCAACCCGCGAGGGGGAGCCAAUCCACCAAAGCCGGUCGUAGUUCGGAUUGCAGGCUGCAACCCGCCUGCAUGAAGCCGGAGUUGCUAGUAACCGCGCAUCAGCCAUGGUGCGGUGAAUACGUUCCCGGGCCUUGUACACACCGCCCGUCACGUCAUGGGAGCUGGUCAUGCCUGAAGUCGGGGGGCUAACCGCGAGGAGGCCACCGCCGAAGGCA
rnacentral:rRNA from 1 species